UACAGAGACCUCAAGCGUUAUCCGGAAUCAUUGGGCGUAAAGCGUACCGAUCGGUGGUUUUGAAAGUCAGAGGUGAAAUCACGAAGCUUAACUUCGUGACUGUCCUUUGAAACUUCAGGACUAGAGGGGCAAAGAGGAGACUGGAACAAACGGUGUAGUAGUGAAAUGCGUUGAUAUCGUUUGGAACACCAAUAGCGAAGGCAGGUCUCUGGGUGCCUCCUGACACUGCUAGGACGAGAGCGUGGGGAGCGAAUGGG
rnacentral:rRNA from 1 species